AGCAGCUCACGGUGCGCUGAAAAAAAGACUGAUCAUGUCUUUUAAUCUCUCCCGUUAACCAGCCCUUGUAACUCUGUCUUCCCCUCCCAGCUACCUUUACUGAAGUUCCCAAAGAUGUGACUGUUAGGGAGGGAGAUGAUAUUGAGAUGCCUUGUGCUUUCCGAGCCAGCGGAUCCACCUCUUACUCCUUGGAAAUCCAGUGGUGGUAUCUUAAAGAACCAGCCAGAGAACUUGCACAUGAAUUAGCCAUCAGUGUCCCCGGCAGCAGGAGCAAGGUAACAAAUAAGGAUGCAACCAAAAUCAGCGGAUGCAGCUGGUCUCGCUGGCAGCCCCGCUCCUGCAGCGCGGCGGGAGCGUGGCACAGUUCCCCCUCUCAGUGUGUCGUGCCUUGGUCGAAACGUUCCUGUCUGUUGCUGGUUUAGCGGUCACGUCUCAUUCCUUGCAAACCAAGAGGAGGUGAUGCUUGCCUUGCAGCCCUUCCUUAGCCACGUUUGGAAAGGACUCUGGGCCAGAAGAGGAGAGGAGUUGGCUUUUUUCCCUGCCCUCCGCAAACCCCACUCGCCUGUGGCGACCCGACUCUCUCCUUGUCCUGCAGGAAACGAGCCCCUUGGCUGCUGCUGCGGGCCCGGGGUUGCCUCUGCCCCGGCUGGGGCUGUUCUCUCUCUCCCGCCGCAGCGGGGCCUGCCCCGGGGUGCGC
rnacentral:lncRNA from 1 species